AACGAACGCUGGCGGCAGGCCUAACACAUGCAAGUCGAACGCCCCGCAAGGGGAGUGGCAGACGGGUGAGUAACACGUGGGAACGUGCCCAAAGGUACGGAACAACUCCGGGAAACUGGAGCUAAUACCGUAUGUGCCCGAAAGGGGAAAGAUUUAUCGCCUUUGGAUCGGCCCGCGUCUGAUUAGCUAGUUGGUGGGGUAAUGGCCUACCAAGGCGACGAUCAGUAGCUGGUCUGAGAGGAUGACCAGCCACACUGGGACUGAGACACGGCCCAGACUCCUACGGGAGGCAGCAGUGGGGAAUAUUGGACAAUGGGCGAAAGCCUGAUCCAGCCAUGCCGCGUGAGUGAUGAAGGCCUUAGGGUUGUAAAGCUCUUUCGCCAGGGACGAUAAUGACGGUACCUGGAUAAGAAGCCCCGGCUAACUUCGUGCCAGCCGCCGCAGUAAAAC
rnacentral:rRNA from 1 species